rnacentral:rRNA from 1 species
UACGAAGGGGGCUAGCGUUGUUCGGAUUUACUGGGCGUAAAGCGCACGUAGGCGGAUCGUUAAGUCGGGGGUGAAAUCCUGGAGCUCAACUCCAGAACUGCCUUCGAUACUGGCGAUCUUGAGUCCGGAAGAGGUGAGUGGAACUCCUAGUGUAGAGGUGGAAUUCGUAGAUAUUAGGAAGAACACCAGUGGCGAAGGCGGCUCACUGGUCCGGUACUGACGCUGAGGUGCGAAAGCGUGGGGAGCGAACGGGG